GGGGCUGUGGCUCAGUGGUAGAGCAUCUGCUUUAGAUGCAGAAGGUCCAGAGUUCAAUUCCUGGCAUCUCCA